GUGGAUUAGAUACCCUGGUAGUCCAUGCCGUAAACGUUGGGCGCUAGGUGUGGGACUCAUUCCACGAGUUCCGUGCCGCAGCUAACGCAUUAAGCGCCCCGCCUGGGGAGUACGGCCGCAAGGCUAAAACUCAAAGGAAUUGACGGGGGCCCGCACAAGCGGCGGAGCAUGCGGAUUAAUUCGAUGCAACGCGAAGAACCUUACCAAGGCUUGACAUACACCGGAAUCAUGCAGAGAUGUGUGCGUCUUCGGACUGGUGUACAGGUGGUGCACGGUUGUCGCCAGCU
rnacentral:rRNA from 1 species